CGCGUUUUUCGCCCAGGCGGAGCUCGACCGCCGCUUGAAGUCGUGAGAGCCUUCAUCGACCAGCACCGCAAGGCCUUCGGGGUCGAGCCGCUCUGCAAGGUUCUGCAGGUUGCCCCG
rnacentral:ncRNA from 1 species